ACACUCCUGCGGGAGGCAGCAGUGGGGAAUAUUGCACAAUGGGCGCAAGCCUGAUGCAGCCAUGCCGCGUGUAUGAAGAAGGCCUUCGGGUUGUAAAGUACUUUCAGCGGGGAGGAAGGCGAUAAGGUUAAUAACCUUGUCGAUUGACGUUACCCGCAGAAGAAGCACCGGCUAACUCCGUGCCAGCAGCCGCGGUAAUACGGAGGGUGCAAGCGUUAAUCGGAAUUACUGGGCGUAAAGCGCACGCAGGCGGUCUGUCAAGUCGGAUGUGAAAUCCCCGGGCUCAACCUGGGAACUGCACUCGAAACUGGCAGGCUAGAGUCUUGUAGAGGGGGGUAGAAUUCCAGGUGUAGCGGUGAAAUGCGUAGAGAUCUGGAGGAAUACCGGUGGCGAAGGCGGCCCCCUGGACAAAGACUGACGCUCAGGUGCGAAAGCGUGGGGAGCAAACAGGAUUAGAAACCCCAGUAGUCCCA
rnacentral:rRNA from 1 species